CUCUGUGUUUAAAAAUGUCAGAUAC
rnacentral:snRNA from 1 species